rnacentral:rRNA from 1 species
UACGUAGGUGGCAAGCGUUGUCCGGAUUUAUUGGGUUUAAAGGGUGCGUAGGCGGCCUUGUAAGUCAGUGGUGAAAUACUCCAGCUUAACUGGAGGGGUGCCAAUGAUACUGCAGGGCUUGAGUACAGAUGAGGUAGGCGGAAUUGACGGUGUAGCGGUGAAAUGCAUAGAUAUCGUCAAGAACACCGAUAGCGAAGGCAGCUUACUGAGCUGUAACUGACGCUGAGGCACGAAAGUGUGGGGAUCAAACAGG